AUGAUAGCCGUGCUCUCCCAGUGCCGUGCACGCCGUGUCCUGCAGUCCAACCCACGUGCAGCCAGCCAACAGCAUCUGGAGCUCAGGGCAACCAAGCAGAAAUUGUUCCAAGCCUCCCCUCUGCCACUGCUGUCCGGGUCAUCGGCUGGAAGUGAAGUCACACUGCCUGCCCAGUCUUCCUUCACUGAAGAGGCCUGCCGGCCCCUCACCCUGUGGAUCCCUUUCUGCCUCACCGGAGUUCUGUUCGCCCAAGGACAUGAAUUUCUAGUUUACCCGACCAGAGGUGAAACACCCUUUCUUCCGGGCACUCGGCAGGCAUGAGAGCCGUCCUCCCACGGAGCAGGAUCUCCCAAGAGCUGCAGAGAUCGGAGAGGAUUUCGAUGAACACUGAAGCCAAAAUGCUGUUAAGACCUUUCCAGCCCAGAUACCCUCAAGCGCUGUCAAGUUUGACAGCAGAGACCCGGGAGGAGUCAGUGGUGCAUAGCGCACAGGACGUUGGAUAUUCUCCUCAGAACUCAGCUACACACUGUCCAAACAGUGAUAACUGACAGUCGUGUUUCUCAGUUACGUAACACAAUGCCUGGCCCUGUUACCUCUGUGUGUCAUCCCUGGGAGGUGGCAGGACACUUCAAAAGAGGGUAUUAAAUUAGGACUCAAAAGAAACAAAUUCCAGUACCCCUUCUGCUCCCUCAUCAUCUGGGUGAUGGUGAAAGUGUCACCUCACCCGUCUGGGCCUUGGUUUCCUCACCUGGACUGUGGCGUGACAACACCCAUGUUCUUUGACUGCCUCUUACCCUUGUCAUGAGACUUACAGGAAAAGAAUAAGGUAACUGUAUUCUGAAGUUUUCAGUUACCUUAUAAAUUAGUCCCAGAGAUGGAGUUUGACGUGGCUUUCCUGGCUCCCGUGCCAUAGUCUCCAGGCCCUCUCCCCACCCGCCAUGUUCUUGUCGACCCAGCUGGUCUGGGUCCCACUGAGGCACCACCAUCUUGUUCAGGCUUUGAUGCAAUCAGCCCAAAUCUUUUCCCUCUUUCUCCCUUAAAGCUGACGCACCCCAUGGUCCCCGCUAAGAACUUGUAAUGACUCUGGAAGUUACCCCUGUGUUUGCUUCAGGAGCACACGUACCACAAUUGGAAGCUCCCAUUCUCAGGAAGCAUAGCUGCAUUUUAAAUGGGAGCCUUCUAGAGAUGGUGUCCCCUGAACCAACAACAGAGAAGGGAUGGUGGGGUCAUCGCAGAGGAGAUGAAGCUCGUGGUGCCUGAGCAACAACCUAAAGGUAGGGCAGAGGUGCUCUGUGCUCUGCCCCACAGCCCUGUGACCAGCUGUGGACCCCUGGGCACGUGUAGCAGGAAGCAACAGUCCCUCCAUCCACACUGCUGUCCUGUGCAGCCAGGAGCAGAGACACGGACCAGAUGACCCCAGGACUUGACUUUCCAUUCUUGAAAUCAAAUAUCAAGGAAAUUCCAGGCAAAGUGAGUCCACCUUCCGCCAUUUCUUCAUCGGCAAACAUUUACUAAGCCUCGGUAAGCCAAGCACGAGGUGAGAAUCUGAGAACACAAAGCUGAAUUAGACGCAGUAUACACCAGAACAGGGUGUCAACCUCUCUCCGUGAAACUAAAGAAAAGUAGAACGAACUCCUUUUUAAAAAAAUAAAAUGAAAAACCUUCACCUAACACCUCCUGGCAACUCACAGUACACUAACUGACAGCCCCAAGUAGCACCAGAGGUAGCUGAGGGUUUGCCCCUCACCCUAGUGCCGCCUCUAAGUAGGACAGGUGGAAUUUGAGGGCUGCGGGUGCUUCAAGUGGAUUGUCUUUAGCCUGCGCCAUCUGUCCUUGGGGUUCUGUUGAAAGCGUUAGCACGAAUCGCACAGAGAAGUCUGUGCAAGAACAAACCCCCCUGCUCGUUCUGGUGUGUCCGGGCCCUCCCGCUUCACAGCCCCGAGGUCUCUGCCGCCAGCAGCUAAGCCAGGCUGGGCAGGUGCAAAAGCAGGGUGGGUUUGCACACCCCGCUGAGCCGGCCUGGACCUUGCGGGCUGUCGCCCAUGGGAGCCCUCAUCUACCUCUGCAUCGGCGAGGCCCUGACGGCUCAGCACAGGUCAGAGCUGGAGUGUGACCCACAGAAAUUGGGCUGCACCUUGGUGCUGAAGCACCCGGGUUCUUUGUCUGGAGGCAGCCGCGUGGCCGGAGGGCUAGAGAUGCCAGGACUGAGGUUGUCUGUGGUUUCCAUGACAACCACUUUUUUUUUCUUUAAGUAGACCUUCCCUAAGCACAAUGCCAGCUCGGAAUCAGCUCUUAAUAAAUUUGCUCAACUGGUUGACCAUGGCUGGAAAUGCAUCUCCCUUCUCUAGUCUGGGACCUACUCAUCGCCAACAGUGGUGACGUCCGUCCACGGGACUUCCUGUGCCUGCCCAGGAAGCCACCAGAAGUAGAUUUAAGUAAGUGUUCUCUAUGCCUUUAAUGCUUUGGCUCCUUACAUGGCAUUUCUGGGGACAGAAUCAGUUUGGUUCUCUACAAUUCUGUGACAAAACAGUAUUUUCCGUCUCCUCGCCAGCUGCUGCAGCAUUCCCAGCCACCUCCAGCUCCUCCCCUGCAAACCCAGCGAGUCCUCAGGGAAUGGGCCUUCCUAAGCGACUCUUGGGGAAAGCAUGUGGCUACUGCUUCCUCUUUUCCUUCUCAGGGUUGCAGCAGUGACGUCCUUUCUCACAGCCCAUGCCGAUGCCUCCCUGCUGGGCCCUUGCACCCCAGAUGCCCUCAGAGGCUCGUCCCGCAGGUGUGUGUGGAGCUGUCUGUGUCUCACAGUGAAGAUGAUUUGGACUGAAGCCAAAGUGGUCAAACGCUUGUGCCAAGUUUGCUCCAGGAGUGGAACCGACUCAGACCUGACCGAGAAGUAGCAAUAGUGUAUGGUCAGCGCCCACUGCUCUUGUUCUCCUACCACAAAGUUAAGCUCUGCCCUAUCUUGUUGUCAAAGUGACCCAGGGAGAACUGACCUCAUGGGAAGAAGGAAGACAGAGAAGAAACUGGGGGCAGAGUCUCUGAGGGGCAGUCACCUGAGUGGCUUUUCUCAAUGAGAAGUGGAGUUUCAUGUCUGACAAGUGAGCUUGUCACCAGGCAGUGGGACAGACGAAGUGCAGUGAAGGUUCUUUCAGAUGCUGCACCUGUUAUUUACUUCCUGCCUUGCUCCUUGGAAGAGUUUAGGUAGCCACCAGAGGUUAUUUCCAGACAGGAACAAACAAGGAACACCCACAAAUGAAAAGAGACAACUGUGGCCAGGGCAUAAGACAGAGCUGGACUGAGGUUCAGUUUUAACUGCGGCACAUAUGGGCCCCGGGCUCUCCGACAUGGACCCCGAGUGCCCAGUGGGAGUUCUGGGAGUCUUAGAUUUCCUAGAACUUGUUUUACAUUUCUCAGGAAAGAUAGCUCAUACAAAUAGAAAUACAUUUCUCCCAAGAGGCCUUCGAAACUGUGCUUUGUGAGUCAUUCUAGAAAAUGCGGUUGCUGAAACCAAGGGAAGUACUCAGUGGGGUGGAGAGGGAUGGAAAGUUCAAGAUGUCUCCACCAGCUGGCGCGUGCAGGCUCCUGACCCUCUGCCCGCCCACUCCAGCUUCCCCCUCCUGCCCAUACUUUUUGCUUCACUUGCACUACACUUUCUGGAAUGUUUUCCUCAUUGGUUCUAUCCCACUCAACCUACUCAGCAAAAUGUUUCUCCUCUCAUCCUGAAGUUUAGAAAGGACAAAGUUUUGACUGAAGGUCAAAGAGAUGACCAGUGGCCUGGCCUAACUUAACGCUGAGAGACAGCCCAAUCUCUUUCCCCAAACAUUCGUCUACUGGUUCACUCGGAUAUUCGCUGAGUUCCAACUAAAUGGCUGUGCCCCAGUCUCAAAACUUGAACAAAUGCCCGUAUGCUCCUGUGGCCCAAGAUUGUGCUUCUGGUCCCGACUGCUCUCCCAAAUCCCAACUCCUGUGUGCAGUGCCUCCACCUGUGUCCACACUGAUGUAGGCAAGCACCCCAAGGUGCCUGUCUCUAACAUGCCAUGAAGUCUGCGUGCUUCCUCCAGAGCUUUUCCUGCCUAUAUCUUCUGAUGUCUGAAAACGACAACUCCAUUUAUGCAGUUGCUUCGGUUAGUUUAUCGUCCCCUCUCCACUAAGGACAUUAGGAAACCAAUCUGCUCUGCUGUCGAGGCAGACCCCCAAUCCAGCACCUCUAAGCCUCCCCAAGCCACCAUCUCGGUCCCAGCUCUCGGUGUCCCACACCACUGCUCACACAGCCUCCUGAGCAACUUCCUUAUUUUAAACUUUGUUCCAGUCUCAGGCCAGUCUCCACCCAGGAAUCUCAGCAACCUCAUUCCAACCACCUCAACUCAUGGGAGGCCCUUUUUCUAAACUUUCCAGUGCUGCCUGGGUGUUGAACAAAAUCUAAAUAAAGAGUGGCUUGAAAGCUACAUUGACCUGGCCCCUGACAUGAGAUUUCUCCUUCUCUGUGGUACUCGAACCUGCGGGUCUUCUUGUUCCUGGGACGGGCCCGCUGCAUUCCUACCUUGGGGUCUUUGCCCUUGCUGUUCUCUAACCCUAAAGCAGAUUUCCCGAGUUAGCAUUCAGUUCUGUGACAGAACACCUGAGACA
ensembl:lincRNA